rnacentral:rRNA from 1 species
CCUACGGGGUGCAGCAGUGAGGAAUAUUGGUCAAUGGACGAGAGUCUGAACCAGCCAAGUAGCGUGAAGGAUGACUGCCCUAUGGGUUGUAAACUUCUUUUAUAUGGGAAUAAAAUGUUCCACGUGUGGGAUUUUGUAUGUACCAUAUGAAUAAGGAUCGGCUAACUCCGUGCCAGCAGCCGCGGUAAUACGGAGGAUCCGAGCGUUAUCCGGAUUUAUUGGGUUUAAAGGGAGCGUAGGUGGAUUGUUAAGUCAGUUGUGAAAGUUUGCGGCUCAACCGUAAAAUUGCAGUUGAAACUGGCAGUCUUGAGUACAGUAGAGGUGAGCGGAAUUCGUGGUGUAGCGGUGAAAUGCUUAGAUAUCACGAAGAACUCCGAUUGCGAAGGCAGUUCACUGGACUGCAACUGACACUGAGGCUCGAAAGUGUGGGUAUCAAACAGGAUUAGAUACCCUAGUAGUC